CCUACGGGUGGCAGCAGUGGGGAAUAUUGCACAAUGGGGGAAACCCUGAUGCAGCGACGCCGCGUGAGCGAUGAAGUAUUUCGGUAUGUAAAGCUCUAUCAGCAGGGAAGAAAAUGCCGGUACCUGACUAAGAAGCCACGGCUAACUACGUCCCAGCAGCCGCGGUAAUACGUAGGGGGCAAGCGUUAUCCGGAGUUACUGGGUGUAAAGGGAGCGUAGACGGCUGUGCAAGCCAGGUGUGAAAGCCCGGGGCUCAACCCGGGGACGGCAUUUGGAACUGGGUGGCUGGAGUGUCGGAGAGGCAGGCGGAAUUCCUAGUGUAGCGGUGAAAUGCGUAGAGAUUAGGAGGAACACCAGUGGCGAAGGCGGCCUGCUGGACGAUGACUGACGUUGAGGCGCGAAAGCGUGGGGAGCAAACAGGAUUAGAUACCCUUGUAGUC
rnacentral:rRNA from 1 species